rnacentral:tRNA from 21 species
GCCACGGUAGCUCAGUUGGUAGAGCAGCGGACUGAAAAUCCGCGUGUCGCUGGUUCGAUUCCGGCCCGUGGCACCA